rnacentral:rRNA from 1 species
GGUCAAGCUAUCAAGAGCUAACGGUGGAUACCUAGCCC